rnacentral:rRNA from 1 species
GAUGAACGCUGGAGGCGUGCCUAAUACAUGCAAGUCGAGCGAAGCGGGGACGGGUGAGUAAUACGUGGAUAACCUCCGAUAAGAAUGGGAUAACAUCGGGAAAAAGGAGCUAAACCGGCUAAUUAUAGAUGGAUCCACGUUGCAUUAGCUAGUUGGUAAGGUAACGGAUUACCAAGGCAACGAUGCAUAGCAGACAUGAUAUGUUGAUCGGCCACACUGGAACUGGGAGACGUGCCAGACUCCUACGUGGUGCAGCAGUAGGGAAUCUUCCGCAAUGGGCGCAAGCCUGACGGUGCAACGCCGCGUGAGUUAUGAAGGUCUUCGGAUCGUAAAACCCUGUUGUUAGGGAAGCGGUACCUAAUCAGAAAGCCACGGCUAACUACGUGCCAGCAGCCGCGGUAAUUC